UAACGCGUAGGAACCUGUCGUCAAGUGGGGGAUAACGCUGGGAAACUGGCGCUAAUACCGCAUGUGGUCGCAGAGAUGCGAAGAAAGCAGCGAUGCGCUUGAUGAGGGGCCUGCGUCCGAUUAGCUAGUUGGGAGGGUAAAGGCCUACCAAGGCGACGAUCGGUAGCUGGUCUGAGAGGAUGUCCAGCCACACUGGGACUGAGACACGGCCCAG
rnacentral:rRNA from 1 species